UACGGAGGGUGCAAGCGUUAUCCGGAUUCACUGGGUUUAAAGGGUGCGUAGGCGGGUUGGUAAGUCCGUGGUGAAAUCCCCAAGCUUAACUUGGGAGCUGCCGUGGAUACUAUCAAUCUUGAAUAUCGUGGAGGUAAGCGGAAUAUGUCAUGUAGCGGUGAAAUGCUUAGAUAUGACAUAGAACACCAAUUGCGUAGGCAGCUUACUACACGAUCAUUGACGCUGAGGCACGAAAGCGUGGGGAGCAAACAGG
rnacentral:rRNA from 1 species